rnacentral:rRNA from 1 species
UGGGGAAUUUUGCACAAUGGGCGCAAGCCUGAUGCAGCGACGCCGCGUGAGGGAUGAAGGCCUUCGGGUUGUAAACCUUUUUCGCUCAUGGUCAAGCCGCAGCUUUGGGUUGUGGUGAGGGUAGUGGGUAAAGAAGCGCCGGCUAACUACGUGCCAGCAGCCGCGGUAAUACGUAGGGCGCGAGCGUUGUCCGGAAUUAUUGGGCGUAAAGGGCUUGUAGGCGGUUGGCCGCGUCUGCCGUGAAAUCCUCUGGCUUAACUGGGGGCGUGCGGUGCGUACUGGUUGACUUGAGUGCGGUAGGGGAGACUGGAAUUCCUGGUGUAGCGGUGGAAUGCGCACAUAUCAGGCGGAACACCGGUGGCGAAGGCGGGUCUCUGGGCCGUUACUGUCGCUGAGGAGCGAAAGCGUGGGGAGCGAACAGG